rnacentral:rRNA from 1 species
ACAUGCAAGUCGAACGGACUUGUGGGGCUUGCUCCACAAGUUAGUGGCAGACGGGUGAGUAACGCGUGGGAAUGUACCUUUUGGUUCGGAAUAACUUCGGGAAACUGAAGCUAAUACCGGAUAAGCCCGUGAGGGGAAAGAUUUAUCGCCAAAAGAGCAGCCCGCGUUAGAUUAGGUAGUUGGUGGGGUAAAGGCCUACCAAGCCUACGAUCUAUAGCUGGUCUGAGAGGAUGAUCAGCCACACUGGGACUGAGACACGGCCCAGACUCCUACGGGAGGCAGCAGUGGGGAAUAUUGGACAAUGGGGGAAACCCUGAUCCAGCAAUGCCGCGUGUGUGAUGAAGGCCUUCGGGUUGUAAAGCACUUUUGUCAGGGACGAUGAUGACGGUACCUGACGAAUAAGCUCCGGCUAACUUCGUGCCAGCAGCCGCGGUAAUACGAGGGGAGCUAGCGUUGUUCGGAAUUACUGGGCGUAAAGGGCGUGUAGGCGGUACCAUAAGUCAGAUGUGAAAGCCCUGGGCUUAACCUAGGAGGUGCAUUUGAUACUGUGGAACUAGAGAUCGAGAGAGGUAAGUGGAAUUACGAGUGUAGAGGUGAAAUUCGUAGAUAUUCGUAAGAACACCAGUGGCGAAGGCGGCUUACUGGCUCGAUACUGACGCUAAGGCGCGAAAGUGUGGGGAGCAAACAGGAUUAGAUACCCUGGUAGUCCACGCCCUAAACGAUGUCAACUAGUUGUUGGGGAUUCAUUUCCUUAGUAACGUAGCUAACGCGUGAAGUUG